rnacentral:rRNA from 1 species
GGUGCGCAGCGUACACAUGCAGUCGAGCGGAACGAUGGAGCUUGCUCCAGGCGUCGAGCGGCGGACGGGUGAGUAAUGCAUAGGAAUCUGCCCGGUAGUGGGGGAUAACCUGGGGAAACCCAGGCUAAUACCGCAUACGUCCUACGGGAGAAAGCAGGGGAUCUUCGGACCUUGCGCUAUCGGAUGAGCCUAUGUCGGAUUAGCUUGUUGGUGAGGUAAUGGCUCACCAAGGCGACGAUCCGUAGCUGGUCUGAGAGGAUGAUCAGCCACAUCGGGACUGAGACACGGCCCGAACUCCUACGGGAGGCAGCAGUGGGGAAUAUUGGACAAUGGGCGAAAGCCUGAUCCAGCCAUGCCGCGUGUGUGAAGAAGGCUUUCGGGUUGUAAAGCACUUUCAGUGAGGAAGAAGGCCUUGGGGCCAAUACCCCCGAGGAAGGACAUCACUCACAGAAGAAGCACCGGCUAACUCCGUGCCAGCAGCCGCGGUAAUACGGAGGGUGCGAGCGUUAAUCGGAAUUACUGGGCGUAAAGCGCGCGUAGGCGGCGUGAUAAGCCGGUUGUGAAAGCCCCGGGCUCAACCUGGGAACGGCAUCCGGAACUGUCAGGC